GUGGCUGUGGCUUAGCAGGUAAAGCCACUGCCUGCAGUGCAGGCAUCCCAUAUGGGCACUGGUUCAAGUCCUGGCUGCUCCA
rfam:Oryctolagus cuniculus unplaced genomic scaffold chrTn0006, whole genome shotgun sequence.